rnacentral:lncRNA from 1 species
ACACUGAGAUAUAACCUUUCUUCGAGCUGAUGCUGUUAAACUAUUACUUGAAACUGAAGUUGCAGUUGACAAGUGCUACUUCAGUCACUAAUAACUACUUCAGAAGUGCUAGUGGUGUCUUGGCUCUUAAUGUUGUGGCUCAGGGCUCGGGGAGUGUCUUUACAGGUCAUUUAGAGCCAUCCAUCUGAUCUGAAACAAGAUCACUCAAUCUCUCCUCUGGCUCUGCGCCUUGCUUGCCUUGAGGUUCUCUGUUUAUCCCCCCCGGGCUGAAGCAGUGGCCUGUCUGGGUGGCUGUCGUGACUUCCCAAAUCCUAGAAGACCCCACCUGUGAGAAAUAAACUGACUGUCAGUGUUUGCAGCAAUAAAAAGGUGAGGGCUCCAAUCCCUUGAGGCUGAACAUUUCCCUUUCAAGGGAGAAGGCACUCCUCUCCUUGCCCCCAUCACAAUUUUCCUGUUUUUUGGUUGUUUUUUUUUUUUUUUAAAUCAGGUUGAACACCCUCCUGAGAAGAGCACAAUUCCUGUAACGAAGGAGGAUGAGCGCUGAGACACACACCCCAGCUCUGCAGCAGCAGAUGUUGGGUUUCAUCAUGGCCCAGUCUGACAGGCAGCUGAGAGCAACCUGCAAAAAAAACCCAAACCAAAACACAGCAAAAACCAAAGAUCCCCAAAUCCAGGGGCUCAACGAUCCAUACAUCCAGAUUUCGGAGUGACUGGUCCUCCUCCUGCUUCACUUGUGCCCUGAGAUCAUCUCAAAGCUGGA